AUAUGCUUGUCUCAANGUUAAGCCAUGCAUGUCUCAGUAUGAGUGCUUCUACAGCGAAACUGCGAAUGGCUCAUUAAAUCAGUUACGGUUUAUUUGAUGACUUGUGACACGGAUAACUGGGGAAAUUCUUCAGCCAAUACGUGCUUCUAAGCCGACUUUGUGGAAGGUGAGUAUUUGCUCGAUUCUGAACCAACCCAGAUCUUCUGGGCUUUAAGUUGAGCGGAGAGUAAAUCUGUCCAAUCGCAUUGCACCGCGAUGCGAUGCAUCAUUCAAGUUUCUGACCUAUCAGCUUCCGAUUGUAGGGUAUUGGCUUACCAUGGCGAUGACGGGUAACAGCGAAUUUGGGUUCAGUUCUGGAGAGGGAGCCUGAGAAACGGCUACCACAUCUAAGGAAGGCAGCAGGCGCGUAACUUACCCAAUUCUGACACGGAGAGGUAGUGACAAGAAAUAACGAUACAGGGCAUUCAUGUCUUGUACUUGGGCUGAGUAGAAUGUAAACGACUCUAUGAGUAUCAAUUGGAGGGCAAGUCUGUGCCAGCAGCCGCGGUAACUCCAGCUCCAAUAGCGUAUAUUGAAGUUGUUGCGGUUAAAAAGCUCGUCGUUGGAUUUCUGUUGAGGUCGAACAGUGCCGCCCUAUGGGUGCGCAACUGGCUCGGCUUCGGCAUCUUCUUGGAGAGCGCAUCUGCACUUAACUGAGAGGAUCGUACUUCAAGUCAGUUACCUUUGA
rnacentral:rRNA from 1 species